rnacentral:rRNA from 1 species
UACGUAGGGUGCAAGCGUUGUCCGGAAUUAUUGGGCGUAAAGAGCUCGUAGGCGGCUUGUCGCGUCGUCCGUGAAAACCAGGGGCUCAACCCCUGGCUUGCGGUCGAUACGGGCAGGCUAGAGUUCGGUAGGGGAGACUGGAAUUCCUGGUGUAGCGGUGAAAUGCGCAGAUAUCAGGAGGAACACCAAUGGCGAAGGCAGCUCGCUGGGACGGUACUGACGCUGAGGCGCGAAAGCGUGGGGAGCAAACAGG